UACGGGGGGGCAAGCGUUGUUCGGAAUUACUGGGCGUAAAGGGCUCGUAGGUGGCCAACUAAGUCAGACGUGAAAUCCCUCGGCUUAACCGGGGAACUGCGUCUGAUACUGGAUGGCUUGAGAUUGGGAGAGGGAUGCGGAAUUCCAGGUGUAGCGGUGAAAUGCGUAGAUAUCUGGAGGAACACCGGUGGCGAAGGCGGCAUCCUGGACCAACACUGACACUGAGGAGCGAAAGCCAGGUGAGCAAACGGG
rnacentral:rRNA from 1 species